GGAGGGGGGACACGUGACCGCCCGGCCAGGCGGCCCGGCGCGCCCCAUUCGCGAUGGGCACCCCAUCUUCCUCCUGGAAAAGCCGGGGGACACAGAGAAGGCGGAGGAGCACGCGGGGUGCAGGAGAGCCUACCAGCCCCUUUAGCCGCAGUGCUGGUGAUUCCGGCCGCUGAACCCGGAGAGGAAAGGCUCCCACGCGGCCAGCCGGCCUUGACUGUCCUCCCGCCCUGCCCUUGGCCGCAGUACCCUCCCCUCGGCUGCAGUAACCGCCCCCUACACCUCCAGGCAAGGGCACGCUCAGUGUAGACCACCGCCACUUCAUAGAUGCCAGUGCCACUUAAGAGUGGUGUUGGGUUUUUUUUUUUUUCUUUCCUCCUCUCUGCACACCAGCACAUUGUACCCGAGGGAAACUCACGGCGGUGCACUGCAGACACCGCCCAGCUCCAGGGCCCGAAGACCCUCCGACCAGGCCCCAGGAUGCCUGAGGUCUUCCAGGUCAUUACGUGGAGGAACUCAGGCCUGCUCCCUGCGCAGAAGGAGGAGGCGUCGCGGGAGCUGCAGUCCCCGAUCCUUCCCAGGAAGCCGGCCGGGUGGAAGGGGAGAGGGCGGUUAUCGUGGUGCGAAUCCAAUUCGCAGCCUCUGGGAGCACGUUGCUAAUAAAGGUCAAAUUAAAACAACUAAGUGGUGCCGGCAGGGACGCGCCGCAUGGUCAGGAGAAGCCCGGCUAUUAAUCAUCCAUAACGAGCAUUGCUUUUCUGGUGUGGGAGAAUGGGGCUGUGCGACAGCCCCCCGGAGUUGCGCUCUGCUCUGAACCCUAAGCUCCCCCAGAGCAAGUGGAUUCCGCAGCCUAUUACCCCACCUCCCCACGGCCCCCUCUCGGGGCGGCACCACCCUAGAUGGCAGGAAUUCGGAGAAAAUGCGGUGUCACGUCCGCCGCUAUGCCCGCACACGCGUCUGCGCCAACUCCAGCAACACGUGGGGACCGUGAAUCUGGGCGUCUGCUCUCCACUUAGGUGGUUAUGUGGGUAUACUUAUAUGAUUACUGAUUAAAACCAAAUUGGACGGAGAA
rnacentral:lncRNA from 1 species